rnacentral:rRNA from 1 species
GCAAGUCGAGCGCGAAAGGGAGCUUCGGUUCCUGAGUAGAGCGGCGGACGGGUGAGUAACACGUGGGUAACCUAUCCUCGGGUGGGGAAUAACUUCGGGAAACCGGGGCUAAUUCCGCAUGAUAUCCCAAAUUCUUAAGCGUUUAGGAUCAAAGCUGGGGACCCUUCGGGGCCUGGCGCCUGAGUGAGGGGCCCGCGUCCGAUUAGCUUGUUGGUGAGGUAAUGGCUCACCAAGGCUUCGAUCGGUAGCCGGCCUGAGAGGGCGGAC